CCCAAAAGACUAUCACCAUCUCGUAUUUCCUCCUCGCGUUGCGUCCAUUUGGAAGCAAGGAAGGAAAGCCGGUGGGAAGCUCCGGGCGGGCAGCAUUAAGUCACCACAUGUUACAAUUAGUGCCGCUUCCAGCUUAGUUAAUCCCCUUGGUUUAUAUAUCCAUCUCUCUCCCCUCCCUCCCUCCAUCGCCUCCUCAUCUCCACCUCCCUCCACCUCUGCUGGCUCCGCGGCCCAUCCCAUCCGAUCCCAUCGCCGCGCCGCCAGCUCCAGAUCCGCCCCCGCGCCCGCCGCCGAGCUCCACACGCGGGGAAGGGGUGAGGAGUCAGCUGCCUGCCAUUUCAUCAGGCCCUGGUGUGGUGUAGCAGCGGCCUUCGCACCCAAACAACCAGAGCUUUUAGAUGAUCCAAAGAUGGUGAGGAGCUGAGAGCACCUAGAGUUCGACAGUGGGGGCUGUGGGGCAGCAAGGACAUGACUGUCAUGCCGCCUGCGCGCCAUCGGCCCGCGGCCAAGAGGCCCAUGUGGAUAAUCGUGCUCCUGUGCCUCGUCUGCGUCGUGCUGAUCGGGGCGUACGUGUACCCGCCGCGGCACUACUCGCAGUGCUACCUCUCUGCUUCUAGCGUCUGUACGCCGUUCAAGGAUUGGCUCCCGUCCAUCGGCCGCCGGGAGAAAACCGAUGACGAGAUCAUCUCAGCCGCUGUUAUCAGGGAUAUUCUUGGAAUGCCCAUGUCCACGUCGAAGAAUCCAAAGAUUGCCUUUAUGUUCUUGACACCUGGCUCAUUGCCCUUCGAGAAAUUGUGGGAGAAGUUUCUGCAGGGUCACGAGGGAAGAUACUCCAUCUAUGUGCACGCGUCGCGUCAGAAGCCUGUGCAUACUAGUUCUCUCUUUGUUGGCCGAGAUAUUCAUAGUGAUGCGGUUGUAUGGGGAAAGAUUUCAAUGAUAGAUGCAGAGAAGAGGCUAUUAGCAAAUGCGCUGGAAGACGCGGAUAAUCAAUUUUUUGUCUUGCUUUCUGAUAGCUGUGUUCCACUUCAUUCAUUUGACUACGUCUUCAAUUACCUGAUGGGAACAAAUAUUAGUUUCAUUGAUUGUUUCCAAGAUCCUGGUCCACAUGGAAAUGGAAGGUAUUCUCUUGAGAUGCUUCCUGAAAUAGAGGAGAGAGACUUCAGAAAGGGUGCCCAGUGGUUCGCAAUCACGCGAAGACAUGCUUUAUUGAUUCUGGCGGACAACCUUUACUACAAGAAGUUCAAGCUAUAUUGCAAGCCAGCAGAUGGGCGCAACUGUAUUGCUGACGAGCAUUACUUGCCAACCCUAUUCAAUAUGGUAGAUCCAGGUGGAAUAGCUAAUUGGUCAGUUACACAUGUGGAUUGGUCUGAGGGGAAAUGGCAUCCAAAGUCAUACGCAGUUGCUGAUGUCAGCUAUGAUCUACUAAAGAAUAUAACAGCCGUUGAUGAGACCAUCCAUGUAACAAGUGAUGACAGGAAACUUGUGACACAGAAGCCAUGUUUGUGGAACGGAUCAAAGAGUCCAUGCUAUCUUUUUGCUAGGAAAUUUUACCCCGAAACUCUCGACAGCUUACUGAAGAUAUUCACCAGCUACACGUCUGUUUGACUUCAACCUGAUUCUUUGCACCUCAACACAUGGUUCAAGUACAUGAGCAUGUCUCCUCUCUUCAUGUAAAAAAAUUUGUGAAGUCAAUCGAUACUUAGAUCUGGGCCUCGAGCGACGGGUUGCUGCUGCAGCGACCACCGCAAACCUGCGGUUCAGUCCAUGGGUGGUAGGGAUGCGGCGAUAUUGACAGCGAUGAUACUGCCCUCGUUGUAAUCUAUUGUGCUUUCUGUAUGUUUCCUUUAAGUCCUUCGCCUCUCUCUCUCUCUCUCCCUCUUUAAUUUCUGUCCUAGCCUCAUUAGUUCCUGGCUCUUCGAGUUGGAGAUCAUAUUUUUGUCAAUAUGCUGUUAUCAUAUGAUCCAUUCUUUUGUAGACACAAAGAAAUGAGUGAAAAGUACCACAUAUCUUUUAUAGUC
rnacentral:rRNA from 1 species